rnacentral:lncRNA from 1 species
CUGCACAUUCUUUUUUUUUGCUUGAUCAAAGUUAGACAAAGCCAAAGAAGCUAAACUGUUGUGGAUGAUGAGUUGUUGUGCUUCUGUUGUACACCCCAGGGAAAGAGUGGUUCUCCUGGGCAGACAGGAAGACUAGGCCCUCCAGGACAAAAGGGUCAGGCCGGGGUCAGGGGUCGUUCAGGCCUGACAGGGAGCUAUGGCCCUGGUGGAGACAUUGGACCAGGAGGGACAGGAGGAGAGAAAGGCCUACCGGGGCUUGGUGGAGAGCCUGGAAGACUAGGACCAGUAGGACCAGUUGGACCAAAGGGAGUAAUUGGUGC